UUUUAGCCCAGAUGGAAGAGAAAAGCCCGGACUCUUGUGGUUUAGUUUUUGUAAGUAGCGCUAAGCGACUAAAAGAAGCUUGGGCGAUGCUUUACAAAAACAAACCACAAGAGGAGGACUUGUAACGUACAGCUGGAAAUGCU
rfam:Flavobacterium sp. LM5 Flavobacterium_sp_LM5_contig1, whole genome shotgun sequence.